UACGUAGGGUCCGAGCGUUGUCCGGAAUUACUGGGCGUAAAGAGCUCGUAGGUGGUUUGUCGCGUUGUCCGUGAAAACUCACAGCUCAACUGUGGGCGUGCGGGCGAUACGGGCAGACUGGAGUACUGCAGGGGAGACUGGAAUUCCUGGUGUAGCGGUGAAAUGCGCAGAUAUCAGGAGGAACACCGGUGGCGAAGGCGGGUCUCUGGGCCGAUACUGACGCUGAGGAGCGAAAGCAUGGGUAGCGAACAGG
rnacentral:rRNA from 1 species